rnacentral:rRNA from 2 species
GAAAUAUCGCUGGUCUGGUCGUGCUAACUUCAUGCAAUGUUCGAUGCUGAACGAGAAUAAGAAGCUUGCUUAUCUCGUCAGGUCUAGCUGGCAGUGACAGAGGAUGAGUAACACGUGGUGUAACCUGCCUGUAAGACCAGGGAUAACUCCGGGAAACCGGUGCUAAUACCGGAUAGAUUAUCUUUCCGCCUGGAGAGAUAAGGAAAGAUGGCUAUUUGCCAUCACUUACAGAUGGGCCCGCGGCGCAUUAGCUAGUUGGUGAGGUAACGGCUCACCAAGGCGACGAUGCGUAGCCGACCUGAGAGGGUGAUCGGCCACACUGGGACUGAGACACGGCCCAGACUCCUACGGGAGGCAGCAGUAGGGAAUCUUCCGCAAUGGACGAAAGUCUGACGGAGCAACGCCGCGUGAGCGAAGAAGGUCUUCGGAUCGUAAAGCUCUGUUGUUAGGGAAGAACAAGUAUCGGAGGAAAUGCCGGUACCUUGACGGUACCUGACGAGAAAGCCACGGCUAACUACGUGCCAGCAGCCGCGGUAAUACGUAGGUGGCAAGCGUUGUCCGGAAUUAUUGGGCGUAAAGCGCGCGCAGGCGGUCCUUUAAGUCUGAUGUGAAAUCUUGCGGCUCAACCGCAAGCGGUCAUUGGAAACUGGGGGACUUGAGUGCAGAAGAGGAAAGCGGAAUUCCACGUGUAGCGGUGAAAUGCGUAGAGCAUGUGGAGGAACACCAGUGGCGAAGGCGGCUUUCUGGUCUGUAACUGACGCUGAGGCGCGAAAGCGUGGGGAGCAAACA